CUUGUCCAGGUGUGCGCUCACCUUUGCUCCGUCUGUGAGGGCGCACCCUUCUAUAGAAGUAAAUUGCCUUGCUGAGAAGAAAAAAAAGAAAAUUUUAUAUUCGAGUGCUAUUUCUUUUGCGGCACUGGGGGGAAACUUUAUUUAUAACAAUUUGGGGGCUUGCUCGUGAUUACAUUCCCCUUCAGGGGCAGUCUCUGGUUCUCUCUCCUGAGGAGGUAUGCCCCACCCUCUUGUGAUGGCCUCAGGGGUGAGAAAUCAGGACUCACCCAGUGCAAGAAAUAACCUGAGCUCUCAGCAAUGUGAAAAGAAACCAGCAGGCAACCUAGGGUAAAGCAUCCUCACACACUGCAGAGACAACUCUGUGCACAGACAAAGGAAGAAGCCGAGGGAGCCGCACAGGGGCCACCUUUGGAGUUGCCAGGACAUCAGCAUCAGCCUGGGGAUCAUGUUCUCGUCAAAGGGUGGAAAGAAGGGAAACUCAAGCCAGCCUGGGAAGGACUCUACUUUGUGCUGCUAACCACCAAGACUGCUUUUGAUACAGCGGAAAGGGAUGGACACAUCACACCUGAGUCAAGCAAGUGCCAUUAUCAUCAGAAUCAUGGGCCAUUGUUCCUGGAUCAAGCCCUACCAAAUUAAAGCUAAGAAAAGUUUAGUCUGUCUAUCUGUAACAAAGACAUUGCAAGGUCUGACUGCUCUGUCCAAUAGUUAGCCAACAACUCAGGGGUAAAUGAUCCCUUUACAGCAUGGCUAAAAAGUGGUUUGGUAAAUGGAAAGGAAUAAUAGCCUCAAUUCUAACUUCCCUCACAGCCGUAAUGGGUGUACUUAUUCUUAUCAGGUGCUGUGUCAUACAUCCAUCCAUGGGUUGGUGCAGAGGCUCAUAAAAACAGCACUUACUAAAACCUCCCUUAACUAUCCUCCACCUUAUCCAGAGAAGCUUCUUCUUUUGGAAAAUCAAGCAGAACAACUAAGCCAAGACAUGUUAAAGAAGUUUGAAGAGAAAGAGCUGCAAGGAAAUUCAAGAGGAGGGAUUACUAGAUCCCAGGCUGUAAGAGAACUGUUUUGUCUCUCUCUCCUGGAACCCUGCCACUGCCAUAAGAAAAAGCCCAAGCUAGCCUGCUGGAGGACUAGAAGCCAUGUGGAGAAAAGCCUGCUCAGCCCAUUUGCCCUUGGUCAGGCCCUUACACAGGCGAGACAGCCAAGAUGAGCAGAGCCACCUGACUGC
rnacentral:lncRNA from 1 species